CCUACGGGCGGCAGCAGUAGGGAAUAUUGCUCAAUGGGGGAAACCCUGAAGCAGCAACGCCGCGUGGAGGAUGAAGGUUUUCGGAUUGUAAACUCCUUUUGUUAGAGAAGAUAAUGACGGUAUCUAACGAAUAAGCACCGGCUAACUCAGUGCCAGAAGCCGCGGGAAUACGGAGGGUGCAAGCGUUACUCGGAAUCACGGGGCGGAAAGAACGGGUAGGCGGGAUAGCAAGUCAGAUGUGAAAUCCUAUGGCUUAACCCUAGAUCUGCAUUUGAAACUGUUAUUCUAGAGUAUGGGAGAGGUAGGUGGAAUUCUUGGUGUAGGGGUAAAAUCCGUAGAGAUCAAGAGGAAUACUCAUUGCGAAGGCGACCUGCUAGAACCUAACUGACGCUGAUGCGCGAUAGCGUGGGGAGCAAACAGGAUUAGAUACCCCAGUAGUC
rnacentral:rRNA from 1 species